rnacentral:rRNA from 1 species
UGAUAUGCUUGUCUUAAAGAUUAAGCCAUGCAUGUGUCAGUACUAGCUUUUUAAAGUGAAACCGCGAAUGGCUCAUUAAACCAGCUAUGAUUUGCUGGCCGAGACGUGUUACAUGGAUAACUUUGGUAAUUCUAUAGCUAAUACAUGCUGCCGGCUUGCCGGUUAUGCGACUUUGGUUGCAUGCCGGUAAGGUUUUUAUUGGCUUAGAAAGACCGACUUUGUGCUGGCCGCAAGGUCAGUGCUUAGCUAUAUCUGUGGAAUCACGAUAACGUUGUGGUGAAUCGUACGGUCUUGUACCGACGAUGCGCUCUAUAAAUGUCUGACCUAUCAGCUGUGGACGGUUUGAUAGAGGCCGACCGUGGCAUUGACGGGUGACGGGGAAUCUGGGUUCGAUUCCGGAGAGGGAGCCUGAGAAACGGCUACCACAUCUAAGGAAGGCAGCAGGCACGUAACUUACCCACUCCCAGCUCAGGGAGGUAGUGACAAUAAAUACCUUACAGAUGUAUCGUUUAGCGGUAUAUCUUAAACGGAAUGAGUACAAUAUGAAGUAUUUAACGAGAACCGACUGGAGGGCAAGUCUGGUGCCAGCAGCCGCGGUAAUUCCAGCUCCAGUAGCAUAUAUUAAAGCUGUUGCGGUUAAAAAGCUCGUAGUUGGAUAUCAAUGCGUGUUCGGCUUGGUAUUCCCGUCUUGUGAGCGCGUGCGCUUCUGUGUGUGCAGUUCGUGUGCUUUAGUGCGCGUGCUGUAUACCUGAGGCGUCGUGAGCGCAGCGGGGCUUAAAUGCCAACCGACCGCAUAGCUUACGGCCAGUGUUUGCAGGCGGGCUUGCUCAUGCGGGCCUGUUUGCGGCUGGCGAUUUACUUUGACUAAAUUUGAAUGCUCAACGUAUGCUUGCUUAUGCUUGAAUAUAUUGUCAUGGCAUUGGAGAAUAUGUCCCUGAUUCAUAUGGUUGGUUUUCUGAAUCGAAGGGAAAUGAUUAAUAGGGACUGACGGAGGCAUUCGUAUUGCAUUGCUAGGGGUGAAAUCCAAUGACCGAUGCAAGACGAACUACUGCGAAAGCAUUUGCCGAGAAUGUUUUCAUUAGUCAAGAACGAAAGUUAGAGGUUCGAAGGCGAUCAGAUACCGCCCUAGUUCUAACCGUAAACGAUGUCGACCAGCAAUCCGCAACAGUUACUCAACGACUGUGCGGGCGGCUUCAACCGGGGAAACCAGAGUUUUUGGACUCCGGGGGAAGUAUGGUUGCAAAACAGAAACUUAAAGGAAUUGACGGAAGGGCACCACCAGGAGUGGAGUUUGCGGCUUAAUUUGACUCAACACGGAACAACUUACCAGGCCAGGACACUUUUAGGAUUGACAGACUGAAAGCUCUUUCUUGAUUGAGUGGGUGGUGGUGCAUGGCCGUUCUUGGUUGGUGGAGUGAUUUGUCUGGUUUAUUCCGAUAACGAACGAGACUCUAGCCUACUUGUCGAGUGCGCAGUCUGCAUGUGUUGACACAAGUCGGUGUUGUCGUAAUCGUCGCUUGUUGCGUUCGCGCGUCAUUCGUCGAUUGCGCGCACCAAUUUGAUCACACACAAAGAUUGUUGCGAGCACUUCUUAGCGGGAUUGUCGAUUGUUUCAAAAAAUCGACAGAAAGAGAGCAAUAACAGGUCUGUGAUGCCCUUAGAUGUUCUGGGCUGCCCGCGUGUUACACUGGAGUAGUCAACGCGCUGUUCACGUUCUGCCUCGACAGAGGUGGAUAACCGUGAAAGCUAUUCCGUGAUGGGAAUUGAAAGUUGCAAUUAUCUUUCAUGAACGAGGAAUUCCAAGUAAGCGCAAGUCACUAACUUGUGCUGAUUAAGUCCCUGCCCUUUGUACACACCGCCCGUCGCUACUACCGAUGGACGACUUGGUGAGGUCGUUCUGAGUGAACGUGCGAUUUCGAUUGCUAGUUUGCGAAAACGCCCAAACUUGGUCGUCUAGAGGAAGUAAAAGUCGUAACAAGGUUUCC